ACAGACUAGCUCCCUGGCCCCAAGCAGCUCCAACAUAAUCAACGUGCCGGUUCUCGGGUUCUGCCGGCUCUUUUAGAGCUCUUCGGGAUCUACACAGCCUCCAUCUCCCUAACUUGACAGAAUGCAUGAAUAGGUGUCCAGGGAUGGGCAAUCACAAGUCUACGGGAGAAUAGAAGAAAGGAAGGAAGAACACUGGUCCCAACAGAUGCUUCACUGGAGCCAACAUCAGCCAAAGAGAAAAGUUGGAAGAAUAACUUCCCGAAAAACAGAAAACUCUCUUUUGAAAAUGUUGCUAUAAACUUAUGUAUUGUCUGGACUGGGGUCCUCUGGGAUCAGGUACUGAAAUGAAGAAUUGCCUGCAAGAUGUAGAACUCUCAGCUCCUUCUCCAGCACCAUGACUGCCUGGACGUUGUCAUGCUUCUCACCAUGACAAUAACGGACUGCACGAGGGGCUAGGAACCGGAAGAGAGGAAAGGACGAGGCACACCUGUUGCCUGGGGAGCGGUGACGCGCUGCACUACUUGGAGAGUUCAAUCACUGAAGAGACUGUUACAGAAAGCCACGGCCAGUAAGAAAGAAGAGUACAAAUGACUGUGGAAUAUCCAGCCACAGCUUGGAUACCUACAAGCAAUCAAUACACCUAGAGCUCAGGGAACAUCACAGAAGAGGAUGUAGAAAGUCUGUAAGACCCAGAGGACCAGGACAGGACAUCUACUGAGAGAUAAUGUCCUAUGUGCAACAUGAAGGCUGCAUCCAGGAAAUCUCAACAAUAUGGCCAUACCUAACAAGGUUGAAAAAAAUGAUGAUACCAAUCUGCAUGUACCAUACAACAAGAAAACACGUGACUCUCUGUUGCAAAUCCCACACAGUCAACACAGUGUGCUUAUUGAUUUUGCCUAGUCAUAUAGUUACAAACAGGCAAAACAGUACAGUUCUGACCCGAAUAUUAAUUUGUGUUGGUCAAACUUCGAUGUUGAGGACAAGAUGAGACAUUCAGCUGAGAGCCAGUGUUAUACAGGUCUUCAGGGGGACAGAAUGUU
rnacentral:lncRNA from 1 species